UACGUAGGGGGCGAGCGUUGUCCGGAUUUAUUGGGCGUAAAGAGCGUGUAGGCGGCCAGGUAGGUCUGCUGUGAAAACUCGAGGCUCAACCUCGAGACGUCGGCGGAAACCAUCUGGCUAGAGUCCGGAAGAGGAGAGUGGAAUUCCUGGUGUAGCGGUGAAAUGCGCAGAUAUCAGGAGGAACACCGGUGGCGAAGGCGGGUCUCUGGGCCGGUACUGACGCUGAGACGCGAAAGCGUGGGGAGCGAACAGG
rnacentral:rRNA from 1 species